rnacentral:rRNA from 1 species
AGAGUUUGAUCCUGGCUCAGAUUGAACGCUGGCGGCAUGCCUUACACAUGCAAGUCGAACGGUAACGCGGGGCAACCUGGCGACGAGUGGCGAACGGGUGAGUAAUGCAUCGGAACGUGCCCAGUAGUGGGGGAUAGCUCGGCGAAAGCCGGAUUAAUACCGCAUACGACCUAAGGGUGAAAGCGGGGGACCGUAAGGCCUCGCGCUAUUGGAGCGGCCGAUGUCAGAUUAGGUUGUUGGUGGGGUAAAAGCCUACCAAGCCGACGAUCUGUAGCUGGUCUGAGAGGACGACCAGCCACACUGGGACUGAGACACGGCCCAGACUCCUACGGGAGGCAGCAGUGGGGAAUUUUGGACAAUGGGCGCAAGCCUGAUCCAGCCAUGCCGCGUGCGGGAAGAAGGCCUUCGGGUUGUAAACCGCUUUUGUCAGGGAAGAAACGCUCUGGGUUAAUACCCCGGGGUAAUGACGGUACCGAAGAAUAGA